rnacentral:rRNA from 1 species
UGGGGAAUAUUGCACAAUGGGCGCAAGCCUGAUGCAGCCAUGCCGCGUGUGUGAAGAAGGCCUUCGGGUUGUAAAGCACUUUCAGCGAGGAGGAAGGUGGUGAGCUUAAUACGCUCAUCAAUUGACGUUACUCGCAGAAGAAGCACCGGCUAACUCCGUGCCAGCAGCCGCGGUAAUACGGAGGGUGCAAGCGUUAAUCGGAAUUACUGGGCGUAAAGCGCACGCAGGCGGUUUGUUAAGUCAGAUGUGAAAUCCCCGGGCUCAACCUGGGAACUGCAUUUGAAACUGGCAAGCUAGAGUCUCGUAGAGGGGGGUAGAAUUCCAGGUGUAGCGGUGAAAUGCGUAGAGAUCUGGAGGAAUACCGGUGGCGAAGGCGGCCCCCUGGACGAAGACUGACGCUCAGGUGCGAAAGCGUGGGGCAGCAAACAGGAUUAGAUACCCUGGUAGUCCACGCUGUAAACGAUGUCGAUUUGGAGGUUGUGCCCUUGAGGCGUGGCUUCCGGAGCUAACGCGUUAAAUCGACCGCCUGGGGAGUACGGCCGCAAGGUUAAAACUCAAAGGAAUUGAC